rnacentral:rRNA from 1 species
UACGAAGGGGGCUAGCGUUGUUCGGAAUUACUGGGCGUAAAGCGCACGUAGGCGGACUACUAAGUCAGGGGUGAAAUCCCGGGGCUCAACCCCGGAACUGCCUUUGAUACUGGUAGUCUCGAGUCCGGAAGAGGUGAGUGGAAUUCCGAGUGUAGAGGUGAAAUUCGUAGAUAUUCGGAGGAACACCAGUGGCGAAGGCGGCUCACUGGUCCGGUACUGACGCUGAGGCACGAAAGCGUGGGGAGCAAACAGG